AACAUGGCACCGGCUGGUCUACUGUAUGCCGUAAACGUAAAGGAAAGCGUCCGUUUCGCAAGACGUCCUCGUUGGAUCGCAUAUCUGUGUCGAAAGGAGAUUCUUCCAUCAGAACUACAGCCAUGGAAUUGGAUCUUAGAUCGCCGCGAUCUCGUCGGAAACACCACCUUAUCUAGGAAAGAAGCUGUGAAAUACCCAGCCUCCCGUUGGAUUACUUCCAAGUUCAUAUAAGUGGAACUUUGGACGGCUGUUAUAUAUUUAACAUUUUAUUUGUUUUAAUAACGGAAUAGUGAUGUCAGAUAGACCUCAGACGGGGAGUGUUCUGGAACUCAUUCAUCAUUUGUUCGUCAUGUGAUCAUCAUUUUAUAUUGUUUAUGUUUCAUUGCGUACAUCACUUUAUAUGCUCCAGUUUUAGGAGUUUUAUACAGGACAGUGUAGGAACCCAUGUUACUUUCUCCUCUCUUCUGAGUGACGAAAACUGCUCAGCAGGCCGUGUGCACAACUGCAAGGAACAUUCAGCGGACACGUUGUCCAAAGGAACAAUUCGUGGCUAACCACAGCUUUUUCACCAUUUGGAUUGGUAGUGAAAUAAAAGUCAGCUCCUGAU